CGAGACCUCAGGUCAGACGGGGCUACCCGCUGAGUUUAAGCAUAUCAAUAAGCGGAGAAAAGAAACUAACAAGGAUUCCCU
rnacentral:rRNA from 1 species